AUUGAACGCUGGCGGCAUGCUUUACACAUGCAAGUCGAACGGUAACAGGUUAAGCUGACGAGUGGCGAACGGGUGAGUAAUGCAUCGGAACGUGCCCGGUCGUGGGGGAUAACGCAGCGAAAGCUGCGCUAAUACCGCAUACGAUCUAAGGAUGAAAGCGGGGGACCGUAAGGCCUCGCGCGAUCGGAGCGGCCGAUGUCAGAUUAGGUAGUUGGUGGGGUAAAGGCUCACCAAGCCAACGAUCUGUAGCUGGUCUGAGAGGACGACCAGCCACACUGGGACUGAGACACGGCCCAGACUCCUACGGGAGGCAGCAGUGGGGAAUUUUGGACAAUGGGCGAAAGCCUGAUCCAGCAAUGCCGCGUGCAGGAAGAAGGCCUUCGGGUUGUAAACUGCUGUUGUACGGAGCGAAAAGGUCUCCUCUAAUACAGGGGGCUCAUGACGGUACCGUAAGAAUAAGCACCGGCUAACUACGUGCCAGCCGCCGCUGUAA
rnacentral:rRNA from 1 species